ensembl:lncRNA
CGGUGCUGGAGGUAUUCAUUAGGCAUAGCUUCAGAAGCACGGGAAAGGGAGUAGCGUCUACUAGGAAGGGCUGUCCAACUCCAGUCUAAGCAUAGCGGAAAGAGAGUGACUUUACCUCCAGACCUAUUAGCUGUGGGACCUGAGAGCAUCACUCAUCUACCGGCUGAAGAGAGAAAGUGUUGCACAGUCAUGAAGGGUACACAUUUUGGAGUUGGUGGUUCUGGGUUCAAGUUCUGAUCCUGCAGUUGAGGAGUUCUGUGACCUCGGGCAAACCACCUACAACCCAGCUUUCUCAUUUGGAAAAAAGAGGUAAGAGUAGAAUUGACAUGCUGGAUAAAUGUGACAAGGCCUGUAAAGCAUGGGAUAGCCAUUGGUCACCACUGGCUGGUUUUUAUUUUUCAGAAGGAGGAGAGGUACCUUCUAGCUUCUGGGAUGGCAGAGUGUGGGUGCAUGGGAGAGUUCCCUUAAGGAGGGACAUUUGAGUGGAGCCUUAAAGUUCUGGGACCAAAACAUUUGAAACAUUUGAAAACAUUCCACAUUACCCUGGAAACGUGUCCAGUUUGGCUGGAGUACAGGUAGAGUUUCUUCAGGACUUGAAAUGCCAAUGUCACAGCUCAAGAAAUAAUGAUUUUAUUACUUCUUUGGAGAGUGCCCCAGCACUGCCUUCGUUCCCUCUCGAGGUUCAGCGAUUGUACCAGCCAGCCUGUCCCUCCAGCCUUGACCAUGGGCAGGUCUCUGCAUCUCCAUCUCCAUAAUGCCCGGCAGGGUGACAUCGUAAACACUUGCAGAGACUGUUGCUUCCUGGGUCUGGAACCUGGAGCUGGAAACAAAUGCUUGGGGACCUUACUGCACCCCCAAGGGAGAUGUCUGGUAGCCUGGAGUUGGUGUGGCAGGAAAGAAGGCCCUUUGUUAGACUCAUCCUUGCACUCUGGGAGGCAGAGAUGGAGGGACCUGCCAACAUAGAGCCAAACAGUGACUCACCUAUACAGUAAUGUAGUUGACAGCACUUGUGCCUUGUUAUCUCACCAAGUCUUCAGGACAACCUGAAGAGGCAAGCAGGGCAGACAGCACUGUGAGGACACUGGGGCUGAGAGAAACAAAGUGUGUCUCCUGAAGUUACCUGGCUGGAGAGCAUUGAGGCUGGUAUAUGACCUCAGAGCACACAAGGCUAGAUCCAGUGUUUUAGCUAUAUCACCCUGCUUUCUAGGAAAUGGAAAUUUUCCAUACUUAGAGACCAUUCUUGUAAAUUUCAACUGCCAUGACCAUUUCUAUUUAAAACAUUGGUGGGGUGAACCCUUAGUUCUAAGCUUGAAGACCCAGGUCUGGUGUCACCAUGUCCAGAAGCUCUUCUUAAUUUCAACCUCUCAGCUUGGAUUUAGGUACCUUUCCACUGGCAUCUUUACCUCAAUGAUAGCAUUUACUACUUUUUUUGUUUACUUAUGACUUGUUUGCUUAUUUGGUCUCAGCUGCUAAGAUGUGAGUUACUCUGGAUAUGGGUCUUAUUCGUUGGCCUAAAAUAUAGUUGGUGGGCUUUGAACUGAAUGUCUUUGCCUGAAUUCUUUGUCUCUGCAUGGAGUUAGUGUCUCUCUUUCCCUCUUGACAUUUUCAUGUCUCCUACUCCCUACUCUCAGGAAAGGAUCUUACACUCUCCUCACCCUGAGGUAUGAGUGAUUGAGAAGCUGAUGCAGAAUUCUUCCUUGUGGUAUCUGCAUUUUAAUAAUCAAC